rnacentral:rRNA from 1 species
UACGUAGGUGUCAAGCGUUGUCCGGAUUUAUUGGGCGUAAAGCGCCCGCAGGCGGCUUGCCAAGUUCGAUGUGAAAUCUCCCGGCUCAACUGGGAGGGUGCAUCGAAAACUGGCAGGCUUGAGGCAGGGAGAGGGAUGUGGAAUUCCAGGUGUAGCGGUGAAAUGCGUAGAUAUCUGGAGGAAUACCGGUGGCGAAGGCGGCAUCCUGGACCGGCAUUGACGCUGAGGAGCGAAAGCUAGGGGAGCAAACAGG